CGUCCGUCCCCGCCACAACCCCCCCAACCCCCGCCCGCUUUCCCGCAUCCCGCGUUCGAUUCCCAGCCCGGCUCUUUUGGCUCCCAAUCUGAUUUCUCUUUUCUCUACCAAAAAAUUCAUCGGCCGCCGCUGCCUCACGCCGCUCUGCUGCCGGCAGCUGCUGCCCCGUGCGCCGCCCGCGGCUGCCCAUGUGCGCCGGCUGGUCCGCGCCACCGCGCGGAGCCGGGAACCCCUCCUCUGGAUCCAGCCGCGGCUGGCGGGUGGGGCGCGAAACCAGGCGGCCGAGGCCGCCGUUGCUGCUUGGCGAGGCCGCGCGGGGUCGCCGCCGAGCGACGCUAGGCUGUGACCCUUUGCGCGCCCCCAGUGACGCCACCUCCGUCGAGGGGCUCGAGGCCAUGACCACAUCGCGCGACGACCCCAGGGACCCGCGGGCUGCCGAUGUCGCGCCGGUGCCGGCGACUCGGCUGCCGCUGGCACGGCAGAUCCCGGACGAGGAGGCAACGACCACCAACAAGCGGGUUUCAGGAGGAGGGUCGACGGGGAUCAAGGAGCAGGUGCUUACCAGGAAGCGCCAGCAGGUGCUCACCAAGCAGGCUGUGGCGGCUAAGAUGGUGGUUGCUGUGCUCAUCUCUGAAAUCUCAGUUUUGGUUCUUGGAAGCUUUCUUGCAGCAGUGAACAAAUUCAUUGCUGAUCGUUAUUCAUGGAAUUACACAGUAUGCGAAUACCAUGUGUAUGAGUUCUUUAGGGUCAGCAUACGCUCCCAUUUGAGUUGUCGGCAAGGAUAUAGGCUGGGGUUGGCGGUAUGGUGUUAAUUUGGGCCCAUUUGAGUUUGGAGAUUCUGCUUGCUUGUGCUCUCCUUGGCAUUAAGUGUUAUGGUAUGGAUCUCUACAUACGACUGAAGCUUGCCGAGGGUAUGCAGCCACAGCCUAGCUAGGCCGAUGGCCUAUUGCCGGUGGCUGGGGACUGAACGGAUCAUUUUUGCCGCCACUUCCCACAAGAAUGGCUUGACAAUCUCUGCAGGUAGUUCCUUCCCUCGCGUUAGGGAAACUGCAAUUUUCUCCGCAUUCCAGAUUCAAUGAGAGCUAUUCACAUAUUGGGCUCUGUUGAAAUCAUAUAGCAUUCCUCAACAUGCAAGAUAAAGGACUUGCAUGUGCGUAGUCCUUAUGAACAUGUCAUCAGUGUAGUUUCGUUACUCUGUCAAUGCAGCUAGGACUGUUCAUUGGGGAUUUCUUGGAUAGCACUAUAGACCAUACUGUUUGUUUUC